GACGAACGCUGGCGGCGUGCUUAACACAUGCAAGUCGAACGAUGAACCCGGAGCUUGCUCCGGCGGAUUAGUGGCGAACGGGUGAGUAACACGUGAGUAACCUGCCCUUGACUCUGGGAUAACUGCGGGAAACUGUAGCUAAUACCGGAUACGACCCUCGGCGGCAUCGCCAGGGGGUGGGAAGAAUUUCGGUCAAGGAUGGACUCGCGGCCUAUCAGCUAGUUGGUGAGGUAACGGCUCACAAAGGCGACGACGGGUAGCCGGCCUGAGAGGGUGACCGGCCACACCGGGACUGAGACACGGCCCAGACUCCUACGGGAGGCAGCAGUGGGGAAUAUUGCACAAUGGGCGCAAGCCUGAUGCAGCAACGCCGCGUGAGGGAUGACGGCCUUCGGGUUGUAAACCUCUUUUAGUAGGGAAGAAGCGAAAGUGACGGUACCUGCAGAAAAAGCACCGGCUAACUACGUGCCAGCCGCCGCCGUAA
rnacentral:rRNA from 1 species